GAAGAGAAAAUAUUAUUAAGACAAUGUAUGAAGAAAACACAAAAAUGACUCUUGGAAUAUACAGCUUUGCCUCCUCUUGUCUUGGAGCACCUUCCUGAAAAUGGUCAACGUGGUUCAAUUUCCAGCUAGGACAUAAUUUGCACAAUAACCUGAAGUUGAAAUUAAUACUCAGAAACAAGCUCUACUGGGCUUAAGAAAAAUCCAUUAAGCUGUCUGCAUUAGAGGAAGAAGCUGACCAAUGGAGUUGGAGCACAUUUGUUAUACUGUAAGAAGAAAGUUUCAGACAAAUAUCACAGGAACCAGGAUGACACUCCAAUAAGACGGAAAAGUAAUUCACAGCUGCACCUUCUCUGCUCUGCUCAGCGAAGACCAAGGACAAAUGGCAGGAAAACCUGGAGCGUUUUGCUGCAGGUCGGGAGUAGCCACUAGGAGGGGCUGACUGCCUUGAAGAGAAGGUAUAAUCCCCUGAAGAUGUAGGUGGGUUUCUUCUGUGGUUCAGGUACUAACCUAGGACUCACAAGAGAAGAGUUCAAUGUCCUGCUGUGUUACAGACUUCUGAAGCAAGCAAUGUGGUAUUUCAUUUCACCAUCUAUGACAAAGGCAUAAUUUCAUCUGUAUUCUAGGG